rnacentral:rRNA from 1 species
AGCAGAGCACUCCUACGGGAGGCAGCAGUGAGGAAUAUUGGUCAAUGGAGGGAACUCUGAACCAGCCAUCCCGCGUGUAGGAAGACGGCCUUAUGGGUUGUAAACUACUUUUAUACAGGAAGAAACGUACCCUCGUGAGGGUGCCUGACGGUACUGUAGGAAUAAAGCACCCGGCUAACUCCGUGCCCAGCAGCCAGCGGGUAAUGACGGAGGGUGCGAGCGUUAUCCGGAUUUAUUAGGGUUUAAAGGGUCCGUAGGCGGAUUAAUAAGUCAGUGGUGAAAUCCCAUCGCUUAACGAUGGAACUGCCAUUGAUACUGUUAGUCUUGAAUGAGGGUGCAGUGGUUGGAAUGUGUAGUGUAGCGGUGAAAUGCAUAGAUAUUACACAGAACACCGAUUGCGAAGGCAGAUCACUAACCCUAAAUUGACGCUGAGGGACGAAAAGCGUGGGGAGCGAACAGGAUUAGAUACCCUGGUAG